UUAGGCCCCGACGGGAGUCUCUACUGCCUCAUGGUGGCAGUCACACUCAUAAGGGCGUAAAGAACUAUUUUACAGACGGUCGCUGUUCAGUUGACCCGUAGCUGUAUCGGCAACAUUAAGGAAAGGUACACUU
ensembl:snoRNA